rnacentral:rRNA from 1 species
CAAUAGCGUAUAUUAAAGUUGUUGCGGUUAAAAAGCUCGUAGUUGGAUUUCUGCUGAGGAUGACCGGUCCGCCCUGUGGGUGUGCAUCUGGCUCAGCCUUGGCAUCUUCCUGAAGAACGCAGCUGCACUUGACUGUGUGGUGCGGUAUUUAGGACAUUUACUUUGAGGAAAUUAGAGUGUUUCAAGCAAGCGCACGCCUUGAAUACAUUAGCAUGGAAUAAUAAGAUAGGACCUCGGUUCUAUUUUGUUGGUUUCUAGAACUGAGGUAAUGAUUGAUAGGGAUAGUUGGGGGCAUUCGUAUUUAACUGUCAGAGGUGAAAUUCUUAGAUUUGUUAAAGACGGACUACUGCGAAAGCAUUUGCCAAGGAUGUUUUCAUUGA